rnacentral:tRNA from 1 species
AAGGGUGUAGCUCAGUGGUAUAGUGCGUGCUUAGCAUGCAUGAGGUCCUGGGUUCAAUCCCAAGUACCUCCA